GCCUAAUACAUGCAAGUCGAACGGCAGCACGGACUUCGGUCUGGUGGCGAGUGGCGAACGGGUGAGUAAUGUAUCGGAACGUGCCUAGUAGCGGGGGAUAACUACGCGAAAGCGUAGCUAAUACCGCAUACGCCCUACGGGGGAAAGCAGGGGAUCGCAAGACCUUGCUCUAUUAGAGCGGCCGAUAUCGGAUUAGCUAGUUGGUGGGGUAACGGCUCACCAAGGCGACGAUCCGUAGCUGGUUUGAGAGGACGACCAGCCACACUGGGACUGAGACACGGCCCAGACUCCUACGGGAGGCAGCAGUGGGGAAUUUUGGACAAUGGGGGAAACCCUGAUCCAGCCAUCCCGCGUGUGCGAUGAAGGCCUUCGGGUUGUAAAGCACUUUUGGCAGGAAAGAAACGUCAUGGGCUAAUACCCCGUGAAACUGACGGUACCUGCAGAAUAAGCACCGGCUAACUACGUGCCAGCAGCCGCGGUAAUACGUAGGGUGCAAGCGUUAAUCGGAAUUACUGGGCGUAAAGCGUGCGCAGGCGGUUCGGAAAGAAAGAUGUGAAAUCCCAGAGCUUAACUUUGGAACUGCAUUUUUAACUACCGAGCUAGAGUGUGUCAGAGGGGAGGUGGAAUUCCGCGUGUAGCAGUGAAAUGCGUAGAUAUGCGGAGGAACACCGAUGGCGAAAGCAGCCUCCUGGGAUAACACUGACGCUCAUGCACGAAAGCGUGGGGAGCAAACAGAUUAGAUACCCUGGUAGUCCACGCCCUAAACGAUGUCAACUAGCUGUGGGGCUUCAGCUUG
rnacentral:rRNA from 1 species